AAUGAACGUUGGCGGCGUGGAUUAGGCAUGCAAGUCGUACGGGUCGGUGUAGCAAUACAACGGCAAGUGGCGAAAGGGAGAGUAACACGUAGAUACCUACCCUCUGGUCGGGGAUACCGCGGCAUAACCGCAAGUAAUACCCGAUAAAAUCUCCGGAUCAAAGGUGUGAUUCCGCCGGAGGAGGGGUCUGCGUUCUAUCAGCUUGUUGGUGAGGUAAUGGCUCACCAAGGCUAAGACGGAUACGGGGUGUGAGAGCAUGCCCCCGCUGACUGGGACGGAGACGCUGCCCAGACACCUACGGGUGGCUGCAGUCGAGAAUCUUCGGCAAUGGGCGCAAGCCUGACCGAGCGACGCCGCGUGCGGGAUGAAGGCCUUCGGGUUGUAAACCGCUGUCGAGGGGAAUGAAGUGUAGGUGGGUACUCCCAUCUAUUUGACAGAUCCCUGGAGGAAGCAUGGGCUAAGUUCGUGCCAGCCGCCGCCGUAAUAC
rnacentral:rRNA from 1 species